rnacentral:rRNA from 1 species
UACGAAGGGGGCUAGCGUUGUUCGGAUUUACUGGGCGUAAAGCGCACGUAGGCGGAUCGAUCAGUCAGGGGUGAAAUCCCAGAGCUCAACUCUGGAACUGCCUUUGAUACUGUCGAUCUGGAGUAUGGAAGAGGUGAGUGGAAUUCCGAGUGUAGAGGUGAAAUUCGUAGAUAUUAGGAGGAACACCGGUGGCGAAGGCGGCCAUCUGGGCCAAUACUGACGCUGAGGCGCGAAAGCGUGGGGAGCAAACAGG